rnacentral:tRNA from 1 species
GCCUGGCUGGCUCAGUAGGAAGAGCACGUGACUCUUGAUCUCAGGAUUGUGAGUUUGAGCCCCAUGUUGGGUG